rnacentral:rRNA from 1 species
CCUGGUGGUUAUGGCGGAGCGGCUGCACCCGAUCCCAUUCCGAACUCGGCCGUGAAACGCUCCAGCGCUGAUGGUACUUC